GGAGGAAAAGAAACCAACCGGGAUUGCCUUAGUAACGGCGAGUGAAGCGGCAAAAGCUCAAAUUUGAAAUCUGGUACCUUCGGUGCCCGAGUUGUAAUUUGGAGAGGGCAACUUUGGGGCCGUUCCUUGUCUAUGUUCCUUGGAACAGGACGUCAUAGAGGGUGAGAAUCCCGUGUGGCGAGGAGUGCGGUUCUUUGUAAAGUGCCUUCGAAGAGUCGAGUUGUUUGGGAAUGCAGCUCUAAGUGGGUGGUAAAUUCCAUCUAAAGCUAAAUAUUGGCGAGAGACCGAUAGCGAACAAGUACAGUGAUGGAAAGAUGAAAAGAACUUUGAAAAGAGAGUGAAAAAGUACGUGAAAUUGUUGAAAGGGAAGGGCAUUUGAUCAGACAUGGUGUUUUGUGCCCUCUGCUCCUUGUGGGUAGGGGAAUCUCGCAUUUCACUGGGCCAGCAUCAGUUUUGGUGGCAGGAUAAAUCCAUAGGAAUGUAGCUUGCCUCGGUAAGUAUUAUAGCCUGUGGGAAUACUGCCAGCUGGGACUGAGGACUGCGACGUAAGUCAAGGAU
rnacentral:rRNA from 1 species